UCUUCUGUCAGCGUAGUCUGCAUGUACGCUUUCUGGAGCAUCUUCCAGGGUCGCUCCAGAGACACCCAGACUACUGAAUCUGAAUCCGUUAGAGUGGUCCAACCUUCCUCUUCAGGUGUCUACUAGAGGCAAGGUUGGAUGUAUGCGGCUGCCCUCAAUACAGCCCCUUCCUUGUUUUUUCUUCAUUUAUAUUUACUUAAAAUAUUAAUCCUUUUCUCCUUCUCCUCCAUCCCUCUCUCUCCCCUACUCUACGGUUAUUGGCUUACACUAAUUCAUUCCUGAUUAUCUCCAAGAAGGAAAUAAAUGUCUGUCGGUCUGUCUCUGUAUCGUCGUCUUCUUGGUACGAUUUGGACUGUUUUUUCUCUACACCCCUGAUAUGCAAAGUGUAGUCCCUGAACCAGUGGCCUCAGCAUCCUGAGGGAAUUUGUUAAAAACGCCAAAUCUCAGGCCCUACCCAGACUUACUGUAUCAAUAUCUGCAUUGCAACAAGAUCCCCUGGUAAUUCCUAUGCACAUCAAAAUUUGGAAGGCACAACUCUCAACUGAUGUCCUUGGGCCUCCUUCACAUCCAUCCUGGGAAGGUCUUAUUCCUCAUUCCUGAGUGAGGCUUCUUAAGGAGUGGAGGAAAGUGGAUGUUUUCAAGUUCCCAUUUCCAACCCCCAGCCUCUGGUAACCAGCA